GAUGAACGCUAGCUACAGGCUUAACACAUGCAAGUCGAGGGGAAACGACAUCGAAAGCUUGCUUUUGAUGGGCGUCGACCGGCGCACGGGUGAGUAACGCGUAUCCAACCUGCCCAUCACUUGGGGAUAACCUUGCGAAAGUAAGACUAAUACCCAAUGAUAUCUCUAGAAGACAUCUGAAAGAGAUUAAAGAUUUAUCGGUGAUGGAUGGGGAUGCGUCUGAUUAGCUUGUUGGCGGGGUAACGGCCCACCAAGGCAACGAUCAGUAGGGGUUCUGAGAGGAAGGUCCCCCACAUUGGAACUGAGACACGGUCCAAACUCCUACGGGAGGCAGCAGUGAGGAAUAUUGGUCAAUGGGCGAGAGCCUGAACCAGCCAAGUAGCGUGCAGGAAGACGGCCCUAUGGGUUGUAAACUGCUUCUAUAAGGGAAUAAAGUGAGAGUCGUGACUCUUUUUGUAUGUACCUUAUGAAUAAGGACCGGCUAAUUCCGUG
rnacentral:rRNA from 1 species